GUUUAUUCUGUGUUUCCCUGGCCAUCUAGUCAAUCUUAAAGUGAUGGUUCAAAUCCACUGUUUAGGCUGGGCAUAGCAAUUGCACCAGUUCCUUCCCAUAGUAUAAUAGGGAAACACUAGCUAAGUUUCUGUGCUGCUUAUUGUUUUGUCAGAUGUGAAAUAAUAAGAGAAAGGUCAUGUCACUUGGCUAACGUUUCAUCUUGUUACCAAAGGAUUGUGUAAGGGCGAGCCAGUCACGUACUGGACCAGCGACGAUUAGUGAGGGGGAGGAGAAAAAGGAGCCGUCGGCUGAGAAGCCCAAAACUUCUUCCACCACCUCCUCAUCUGGCUUCUCCCUGGGCAGGCCCCAGGCCCAGUCCACUGCUGGGAGAAUCUCUGGUGUGGAAUCUCUGGUGUUAAUAAUAGUCCUGUCUUCUGAUGACUUGGGAAUACCAAGUGAAAGAAAAAAUAUUAUAUUUAUUGAUUGACUAGUGCGCUGAGCCAUACGGUACCAGACAUGUCCAUCCGCGGCGGCCUGUCCUCGGUGCACUGCUCACUGGACCUGGAGCGCUACCAGCUGAUCCGAGGCCUGCUGGACAACAACCUGGGAGAGCCAAUUGAGGAAUUAAUUUGCUCGUACAACCUACAGGACCCCAGUAACUAUGUGAGGAAACACACACUCUACACUGUGGCCGACUGUCAAUUAAAGACUAUUAAUUGACUAACAAUGUUGAGAGGGAUUCUUCCGAGUGACUCCAUGUGUCCCCAGACAGUGUUGAGUGGUGACAUGUACACCAGCCUGUCCAUCCUGGCGGAUAUGAUGAACGUCAGUCUGGAGUUGCUGGACAGCCCCAAGGCCACUGGAUAGAAACCAUGCUCACUAGCCAGGUUUGAUUUCAUAAAGUCCAAGCUGCUGUUUGAGACUUUUUCUUAACGGUUCCAAGUCUGUGAAUCUGGUGGCUCACUCCAUCUUGGCAUAUGACACCCGUUACACCUGGCCUGGCAUGGAUGCGGGCAGCAGUGCCAGGGGCAAGCCCAAUGUUUUCGACUGCAUCCUGCAGCCAAGACAGGUGUCAAUCGGGCCACCCUCCAGCUGGAGCUGCAUUGCAGGUCCACUAAGGACUCUUCCUGUUUCACGAUUGUCCUCAACAACCUGUGUGUGUUACUCAUCUUUGAUUGGCUCCAGUUGGUUCGGGACUUCCUGCGCAUGCCCUUGAGAAAGGGUGGGUGGUCCACCACGCCAGCUCUAGCCCAGCGGCAGCAGUAACCCAGGCACCACAGGUGCUGUCAUGCACUAGACAGUCAAGGGUGGCGUGUUCACCAAGAGGUCUACUGUGCCUGUCAUGCAGGAUCGGUACCCGGAGGUCAAGAUCAAUGUGGCGGGUGAUAAGGAGCUACAACAGAGACACACACACACACACACACACACACUUUCAUAUGUCUCUGUUUUUUCAAAUUUCUAAUUGAAAAGAACUGUAAUUGGUCAAACUCUUAAACUCUCAUUUUAAUACAUGUACAAAAUUACCCUCUUUCCCUACACAUGAUGGUCAUGACAUUUUGUACAUGAAAGGGGAGGUUAACUUGUCCCCGCAGACAAUCAAUCUGAGAUCGACUUACGUCUUUUACUUUAAUCCGUGUUGUACAACAGAGAUGUCGAUAUUGUCAGGCACACAUCAAGAUACAAGUAUCAUUUGAAUUGUCUCUCAUAAUCAUGAUUUUUCUAGUUGUAUUUUAUGCUACAAUGUAACCACUAGUUAAUAGCAUUCAUUGUAAUAAUAGCCAUAAUGAUUAUAUAAUGUAUAAUACAUGUUUUGCUGUUCCCCAGGCACUGAGUUUGUGGUGAUGAAGGAUUCGUCUUGUCUGGACACCAAUGCCAUCAUUCUGAAGGGCACCACUGUACUCCCCUACAAACCCUGUCUGCUUGACAGACCGUUCUCUGGCAGCCUGGCCGGCAUCGAUGCAUCUGACCAAUACUUUUCAGAACUGUCCUGAAACCGCUGGACUACUAACGCAAUACAGAGCCCUUUGUCAAUUUGAGUCCGUUUGUGUCACUAUGGGUGUAAGUAACGUGCAGUUAGAGGGCACAGAAGCUGUCACAGAAGUGAUAAUGGAAAAGAUGGGGUUGGGCCCUCUUUCCAACUCUAUGGUAUACACAAGGCUGUUUGAAGCUGUGUUAUGUUUUGUGUCCUCCUUUCCAUACCAAAGUGUUUUUCUGUCGGCUGGGCAGCGAGCAGCAGACUGCCUUGUCCAUCAUCGACCCGGUCAACGUGCAGGUGGAGCUGUGUGGCAGUCCCACCUACCAGAGCAGCUUUGGCCUCCUAGAUGUCUUCAACAUGGCGGACCUCCCACCACUACUGGAGGUCAGGGUUCUGUCAAUGGUGGGGAUUGCAGAAAGGCCAUAUAAAGCACCUGUUCAUUUUCUGUUUCGACACAUUUUGUCCCAUUUCAUGCCUACUGAACAUCACAGGAAGGCCAAAAAGAUCAUCAAGGACAACAACCAACCCGAGCCACUGCCUGUUCAUCCCGCUAUCAUCCAGAAGGCGAGGUCA